CGGGAAUUUUGGGCAAUGGGCGAAAGCCUGACCCAGCAACGCCGCGUGAGGGAUGAAGUAUUUCGGUAUGUAAACCUCGAAAGAAUGGGAAGAAUAAAUGACGGUACCAUUUAUAAGCUCCGGCUAACUACGUGCCAGCAGCCGCGGUAAUACGUAGGGAGCAAGCGUUGUUCGGAUUUACUGGGCGUAAAGGGCGCGUAGGCGGCGCGGUAAGUCACUUGUGAAAUCUCUGAGCUUAACUCAGAACGGCCAAGUGAUACUGCUGUUCUAGAGUGCGGAAGAGGCAAACGGAAUUCUUGGUGUAGCGGUGAAAUGCGUAGAUAGCAAGAGGAACACCUGAGGCGAAGGCGGGUUGCUGGGCCGACACUGACGCUGAUGCGCGAAAGCCAGGGGAGCAAACG
rnacentral:rRNA from 1 species